rnacentral:snoRNA from 1 species
AGCUGACACUCAGCUCGGCACAGCCGCAGUCAGUGCUGUGCCGCGGCCUUAUGCAGCUGACAUCGCCGAGCCUCAUUUAAGGCAGGAGCACGGCCGACCUGUGGCCGUAGCGCCGUUCCAGGGGCGCGACAUAC